rnacentral:rRNA from 1 species
CUACGGGACGCACCAGUGGGGAAUAUUGGACAAUGGGGGAAACCCUGAUCCAGCAAUGCCGCGUGUGUGAAGAAGGCCUGCGGGUUGUAAAGCACUUUCGGUUGGGAGGACUGCUUCUAGCACUAAUAUUGUUGGAAGUUGACGUUACCUUCAGAAGAAGCACCGGCUAACUCCGUGCCAGCAGCCGCGGUAAUACGGAGGGUGCAAGCGUGUAAUCGGAAUUACUGGGCGUAAAGCGCGCGUAGGCGGCUAGAUCAGUCGGGUGUGAAAGCCCCGGGCUUAACCUGGGAACUGCAUCCGAUACUGUCUAGCUAGAGUACAGGAGAGGAGAGUGGAAUUCCACAUGUAGCGGUGAAAUGCGUAGAUAUGUGGAGGAACACCAAUGGCGAAGGCAGCUCUCUGGCCUGAUACUGACGCUGAGGUGCGAAAGCGUGGGGAGCAAACAGGAUUAGAUACCCGAGUAGUC